rnacentral:rRNA from 1 species
CCUACGGGUGGCAGCAGUGAGGAAUAUUGGUCAAUGGACGCGAGUCUGAACCAGCCAUGCCGCGUGCAGGAUGACGGCUCUAUGAGUUGUAAACUGCUUUUGUACGAGGGUAAAUCCCGAUACGUGUAACGGGUUGAAAGUAUCGUACGAAUAAGGAUCGGCUAACUCCGUGCCAGCAGCCGCGGUAAUACGGAGGGUUCAAGCGUUAUCCGGAUUUAUUGGGUUUAAAGGGUGCGUAGGCGGUUCGGUAAGUUAGCGGGGAAAUCCCGGGGCUCAACUCCGGCACCGCCUCUGAUACUGUCGGGCUAGAGUGUAGGAGAGGUAGGCGGAAUGUAUGGUGUAGCGGUGAAAUGCAUAGAGAUCAUACAGAACACCGAUUGCGAAGGCAGCGUACCAACCUAUGACUGACGUUGAGGCACGAAAGCGUGGGGAGCAAACAGGAUUAGAUACCCGAGUAGUC